rnacentral:rRNA from 1 species
GCCGGCCACGGUAGGGUCAGCGACUGGGGUGAAGUCGUAACAAGGUAGCCGUAGGGGAACCUGCGGCUGGAUCACCUCCUUUCUAAGG